AUGGCGAUCGGAGCGCCGGGGUCGUCGCAGCAGCAGCGCGAUACAAGCAACAUCCUGGAGAACGUGUGGGCGACCAUCAUGACCGAGACGCCGACAGGGUGCACGCCGAUGCUCACGUCGUCGUCGACGGCAUCGCAAUCUGUCGUGGAUCAGGCCGGCGCGGAGAUUCUGCAGCGGCUGCCGAGCCUGGGGAGGUGGAUCUCCAUGGGCGCCGACGAGUGGGACGAGCUGCUCAGCGUGGCGGACGCGGCCACACCGCCCGUCGCCGAGCAGCCGCCGCUCGCGGCGCCCUCGCCUCGAGGAGAAGGCCAGCCGCAGAGCGCCGUGGCCGGCAAGGCGGCGUUGCCCAAGAGCUACAGGGGUGUGCGGCGGCGGCCGUGGGGCAAGUUCGCGGCGGAGAUUCGGGACACGCGGCGGCGGGGCGCGCGGGUGUGGCUGGGCACGUUCGCCACGGCCGACGAGGCCGCGCUCGCCUACGACGUGGCGGCGCUGCGCAUGCGCGGCCCGCGCGCGCACCUCAACUUCCCGAUCGAGAAGGUGCAGCGCCGCCUCGACCUGGAGCGCGACAGCGGUCAGUUCCUGGACGCCGGCGACCAUUCCACGGGCCGCACGCGCCGAAAGAGGAGAAGGAGGAGCAGUGCCACCGCCACCGAUCAUGCAAGAACCGUCGACGCUGAUCUCACGGCGGUUUAUAGAAAUGGAAGCUCCGACGAUCAGAUGGUGUCAUUCGCCAGCUCUGGGAGAGCUCACGGGACAACGAUGCAAGAUCGGCGCGUGAUGAGCGCUGACGUCGGAGGAGCUGUGAAUCGAGUGAUCGGGUUGGAGGAGAUUGGCAGUGAGUAUUGGGACUAUCUGUUCCCGUCUCAGCUAUAG
rnacentral:rRNA from 1 species